UUAAUUGAAGCCAAAUUUGAGGCUUCUUAUUGUUAAUAAGAAAAUUGAUUUUUAAUCCAAUUAAA
rnacentral:tRNA from 1 species